GUUGUUCAAAGCAUUUGUGCCCAAUAUGGAGAGUUUUUAUAUCCUCCUGUCGCUCUGCACUCAAGACCAGCUGAGAACUGAAAUCUGUAGAGGCCUGGAAAUACAAAGUGGAACAGGAUGAAAAAGGUGAAACAACCAAGGAUGAACAAUAUCCAGGCUCUCCAUAAAACCAGAACUGGAAAUUUCAGAACGAGAGGGGAGACACCAGACACCAGAUAUCCAAAACCAUCUCUCGGGGUGUUUUAAUUGUGCUUUUCCUGCAUGGUAGAAGGGGGUUGAAUUGGAUGGCCAUCUGUAACACAUCCCUGACACCUGAUUCCACCUUAACCUGGUCAAUUUGGGAACCAUUGCUGUACAAGACAGUUGCCAUCAUGUCAUCAUGGAGGAGCCACAGGAUGUUCACAAAGUUGCCAGGCAUCCGAUUUUUUUGGAGGAUAGUCCAGAGAGCACUGCGAUUCACUGUGUUGAAUGUUUUUGCAAAGUCAAUGAAUGUCAUGUACAUAGGUUGAUUUUGUUCCCUGUAUUUUUCUUGGAACUGUCAUGUAGUAAAGAUAAUAUUCACUGUUCCUCUGAAAGGGCAGAACCUGUCGGGGAUUCAGUGGGGAUGUCUUCUGAGAUUGGUAGACAGCUGUCAAACUACUUAACUGCCUCAGUCCUUGAGGUAGAAUGACUGAAUCUAAAUCCACUGCCCAUGUGCCAGUCUGUGACUAGGGGCUUCCAGUUUUCACAGUCCUGCCCCCCUCGCCACUCACUAAUCGCCAUGGUACUUUUGUUCCGAUUUUUUUUCUUGGAAGACACCUGUGCUUGAAUUUGAUUCAUGUGUGGAGAUAAGUGCAUAAGUCUUCACAUAAUAAGGUGCACAUCCAGUGGCAUGAUCAACCUAAUGACUGGUGGCUUCUCUUCUGUUGCAGCCUUCUUCCACCUUCACAGCUGUUGUAACAUGUACCAUGUUAUCAUCCCCCUGCUCUGCCGUUGAAGACUUCUGAUUGUGCUUGGUCUGGUCCCCCCUCCCCUCCCCGCGACCCUUCCGCCCAGGGACACCCUCAGGGAGCACAUGACUCUGAUGGCUUGGCCCACAGGUUCAUUGGAACCUGUGUUAGAUUUAAGACAGAUCAAUUCAAACAAAGAACAUCAUUUCCUGUUUCUCCAUCUUGGUCAACUGUGAAAUCAGUAUAUAUGGUAUUCCUGUGCCUGCACAGUCAGCAUUCGGAAUCUUGCAGAGCACUUUGAAACAUUUUGGCGGUAGCCCCACCCACUCUGCCCAUAAAAUAUAUAUAGCCAGUGGAAGGGACUAUGGCCUCAGUUCCUGUGCAGGCACAGGAAUACCAUAUGUGCUUAUUUCACAGGUGACCACUUGGAGAAACACCGUUACAGAUAAACAAACUAUACUUUCUAUUCUAACAAAAGAAUAACAAAUAGCUCAACAAUUUGAAAUUAGGAUCACAGCAGAAGCUGUUCAUUCCUUUUUCUCCUGGACCAUACUGCCCCUGUCAGCCAUUGGAGAGCAGAAAUCUGCAUUAGAAGUGAGAAACGCUCUUUGAUUGGCUGACGGAUGCUGCAGUCCUGCCUUUUCAAGGGAAUCCUCCCAGCUAGCCAUGACAUCCGAUCUGGCUCUGCCAAUCAGCUGGCUCCAGCUGGGGCGAGAGCAGGAAAUACAAAGUAUUAGACUAUAUAAAACUGUAUGAUCUUGGCUAACUCAAACAUACUGACUUCCUUUAGCAGCUUACUGUGAGCUGUCACAUUUGACUAGUUUGUUUGCAAGAGAUCAUGGGGGACCUUGAUGAAGGCUUUACUGAAAUCAAGAUAUGCUAUAUUCACAGCAUUCCCUGGAUCUACCAAGCUUGUAACUCUAUCAAAAAAAAGAAAAAGAAAAAAAAAGAAAAAAGAUGAGUCUAGCAUGACUUGUUUUUGAGAAAUACAUGUUGACUUUCAGUAAUGACAGAAUUCCUUUCUAAGCGAUUACAGACUGCCUCCUUAAUGAUCUGCUCUAGAAUCUUUUCUGAUAUUGAUGUCAGGCUGACUGGAUAAUUGUUUGGGCCCUCUUUUUUUCCUUCUUGAAGAUAGGAACAAUACUUGCCCUCCUCCUGUCUGCUGAGAUUUCUCCUGUUCUCCAAGAAUUCUAAAAGAUUAUUACAGGUAGUUCUGAAGGUUUGGCAGUUGAAUCUAGCUACAUUGUUUGAGGUUGCAAGAGCCAGCUAGCUUUUCUUCAGGUUAAUGCUCAUGUCAAUUCCCCUGACUGGGAGGGUUCUAGAGCAGGCAUGGGCAAACCUUUUAACAUGGGAGUCGCAUUGUGGGCAGGGAACGGCCAGGGGGAGGGUUAUCCACACAGCUGCCCAGGGCUUGCAGGAGAGCCUUGGGCAGCCACAUGUGUCUGCAGGGUCCUCUUCUUGGCAGGAGAACGUGGCGGCCCAUGUGUCCUCUUGCCAAGAGGAGGAUUUGACAUGAAGAUGCCCAGGGCUCUCGGGAGAACCCUGGGCAGCCACAUGCGACUACCCUGGCCCUCCUCUUGGCAUGAGAGGAUGCUGAGACACACACUGCUGAGAGUACAGUAAUACACAUGUGCAUGUCUCUGCCACGGCCCUCCUCUCUUCAUAGGGAUAUGCCGGGUCACUGCAUCCUCAUGCUGAGAUGACAUGGAGACAGAGGAGGACUGGAGGAAAAAGUCUAAGGGGCUGCAUUUGCCCAUACCUGGUCUAGAGGGAUGAGUUAAGAACAGAUUGGCUGAAUGGAGGUUGCAAGAGCAAGGUUGGUCAAGCCCAAAACAUGUAAGUUUGUAAAGCUUAAAUCUUGGUUGGAUUCUUUCCAGUUAGCUGGGCUCCCAAGCAAACUUUUCUCAACUACCUUGCAGGUUGGCGUUAUUUGCACCGCCAUUACUACAUGACUACAGAAAAGGGCUCAUGGGUGGUGCUAAAGGGCUGGGAUAUGGGAACACACCUCUUGGUUGGGAGGCUUGCUUUCUCAAAUGCUGGAACAAGCAUUUAAGUCUGCCUAUUCAACCACCUGGCACAACCAUUUGUCAGCCAUUAGAUGUCAGCAGUGUCCUUUAAAAAUAAAGGACCAAGAUAAAACAAAGUGCUGUGUGCCUCAAGUCACUAGAGAAGAGCAAACACAGGAUUGGGAGGAGUUUGGUGAAUUUUCAGGAAAAAACAGAUGCAGGAAGGAUAGGAAAAGAGCAGCAUGUCUUAGAAAGUGAACAAAAAGAAGAAGGUGGUCCUUGCCUAUUUUGAUACCAGAAAUCUAACACUACUGUGCAUUACUUUAUAUCAGACCACUUAUUAAUUGUUCAUCCUACAUUCAAGCAGAAAAGAAUUGUCAGUUUGAUGUCGAAGUCUUUCAUGGGUUGAUCACAGGGUUGUUGUAUGUUUUCCGGGCUGUAUGGCUAUGUUCUAGAAGUAUUCUCUAGUAGUUUGUUUAACAAUAUUUUCGGAAAGAUUUGGGGCCAGAGAGGCAACAAUCCUUUUGGUAAGUGAAGUGUGAUCGUCUUCCUGGAUUCCUUAUCUAGUUUCAUCUGAGAAAAUGCUUCUCUAGGACUUUCUAAAUCUUACGGAACAACUUAUAUGCUAAACUUUUGCUGAAAGCUGAAAAGUCUGACAUGGUGGUUGUUAGAGUGGUUCAGCAUUUCUGUGUUCUCAAAUAAUAUUCUGUGUCCAGGUUGUUUCAUCAAGUGUUCUGCUAUGUCUGACUUCACUGGUUGAAUUAGUUUGCAGUGCCUUUCAUGUUCCUUGAUGUUCCUUGUUCCUUCAUGUUCCUUGGGCCCGGGCUGUGGUGCAGGCGGGAGAGCAAGCCAGCUGCAAUUAACUGCAAUGAAUCACUCUGACCAGGAGGUCAUGAGUUCGAGGCCGCUUGGAGCCUAUGUUUGUUUGUCUUUGUUCUAUGUUAAAAGGCAUUGAAUGUUUGCCUAUAUGUGUAAUGUGAUCCGCCCUGAGUCCCCUUCGGGGUGAGAAGGGCGGAAUAUAAAUGCUGUAAAUAAAUAAAUAAAUAAAUAAAUUGAUUCAUGUUUGGGCAAUGCUGCA